UGACCUUCAAUGGGCCUUCUUAAACUAUGUCAAGUAAGAUCUUCUUUUCUGAUGACCUUCUAAGUUACUGAAAACCUUCUCCAUAUUUCGACUUAACCUCACCCUACUCUGCAGCUCCCUCUGACAUUAUUUAACUCUGGUUCCAGCCCUGAAGCAUAGAAGACUGUACAGUUCACUAAACACUGCUUCACUCUGACCUAUCAGCCUCAGAGCCUGGGACACACACACACACACAGACACAGACACAGACGCACACGCGCACACACGCGCACACACACACACACACACACACACACACAGAUACAGACACACACACACACACACACACAUGAACAUACACAUACACACAUGCUACAGGGAUGACUGGGAGAAGGGCAGCGAGCUACAGUGGCAGGGUCAGUGGCUGGCUGUAUGUCACUUCUGUUUAUCAUGAAAGGAGAGAGGGAGAGGAAGAGUGAGAGGAAGAGGGAGAGGGAGAGGAAUAGGAAGAGCGAGAGGGAGAGGAAUAGAAAGAGGAAGAGGAAGAGGGAAAGGGAGAGGAAGAGUGGCGAGAGAGGACUGUAAACUAUAUAACUCCCCCUGAGAAAGAUACUGUGUCACCAUUAUUUCUCUCUCAGUUCCUCUGCUCAUCCAUCACCAUCAGCCGCAAGUUUCCCUCAUAUUACUGCAGAAUAGCCCUAAUUUAUCAUAGAGGGGUCACACACACACACACACACACACACACACACACACACACACACACACACACACACACACACACACACACACACACACACACCCUCUCUGUGUUACAGAUAUGCAAUUUGACCUAUUCUUCUUCCUCCCUCCAGAUUGGAGUGCCCUGGCCUGGGUGUGCCUGAUCACAAUGAACCUCUACCUUAACCUGGUCAAAGAGAGAAGAGCGCCAGCCACUACCAGCUACUGUACCAACUGAUGGCCUGGGGGGUGUCCCUGGUGAUGGCUUCACUACCCCUGUUCAGUGGCUAGUACGGCCCAGAAGGAGCUUGGUGCUGGAUCACAGACGACCACGUAGCCUGGAGAUUUGGGAUUUAAGUGAAAACCUCUCAGCCAACAAAGGGAUGUAGGGAAGAGAGUAGAAGGGAAGGAGAGAGGAGGGGGGUGGUCACUGCGGAGAGAGUGGAAGGGGUUGUGUGUUGGGAGGCCAGAUUUUUUUCCUGUGUGUUUAAUGUUAAGAAUGGAAAACUGGUGUGGAGAAAUGCUCCAUGCAAAAUAUAACGCAAACAACCUCUAUAUUUUAAGGUUUAAUAGACAGACAUAGACAGACAUAGACAGACAUAGACAGACAAAGACAGACAUAGACAGACAUAGACAGACAUAGACAGACAUAGACAGACACAGACAGACACAGACAGACAAAUGCAUAUGGGAAG
rnacentral:lncRNA from 1 species